rnacentral:rRNA from 1 species
CAAUAGCGUAUAUUAAAGUUGUUGCAGUUAAAAAGCUCGUAGUUGGAUUUCUGGUAGGAGCGACCGUGCCGAACUUGAUUGUUCGGGUAUUGUGUUGUCUUCAGCCAUCCUCGUGGAGAACUUUUCUAACAUUAACUUGUUGGGAUUGGGACCCGCGUCGUUUACUGUGAAAAAAUUAGAGUGUUUAAAGCAGGCAUUAGCUUGAAUACAUUAGCAUGGAAUAAUAAGAUAGGACUUUGGUACCAUUUUGUUGGUUUGCAUACCAAAUUAAUGAUCAACAGGAACAGUUUGAGGAUAUUCGUAUGAACAUGUCAGAGGUGAAAUUCUUGGAUUUUGAUCAGACGAACUACUGCGAAAGCAUUUAUCAAGGAUGUUUUCAUUAA